rnacentral:rRNA from 1 species
GACGAACCGUGCGAACGUUGUUCGGAAUCACUGGGCUUAAAGGGCGCGUAGGCGGGCAAUCAAGUCUGAGGUGAAAUCCUCCAGCUUAACUGGAGAAGUGCCCUGGAUACUGAUUGCCUCGAGGAUGGUAGGGGCAUCUGGAACUAGCGGUGGAGCGGUGAAAUGCGUUGAUAUCGCUAGGAACUCCGGUGGCGAAGGCGAGGUGCUGGACCAUUUCUGACGCUGAGGCGCGAAAGCCAGGGGAGCAAACGGG